rnacentral:rRNA from 1 species
AAUGAACGCUGGUGGCAGGCCUAACACAUGCAAGUCGAACGGGUCCUUCGGGACUAGUGGCGGACGGGUGAGUAACGUGUGGGAACGUGCCCCUUGGUACGGAAUAGCCCCGGGAAACUGGGAGUAAUACCGUAUGUGGUCGAGAGACGAAAGAUUUAUCGCCAAGGGAUCGGCCCGCGUUGGAUUAGGUAGUUGGUGGGGUAAUGGCCUACCAAGCCGACGAUCCAUAGCUGGUAUGAGAGGAUGAUCAGCCACACUGGGACUGAGACACGGCCCAGACUCCUACGGGAGGCAGCAGUGGGGAAUCUUAGACAAUGGGGGAAACCCUGAUCUAGCCAUGCCGCGUGAUCGAUGAAGGCCUUAGGGUUGUAAAGAUCUUUCAGGUGGGAAGAUAAUGACUGUACCACCAGAAGAAGCCCCGGCUAACUCCGUGCCAGCCGCCGCAGUAA